AUGUGAAACAUUUUAGGUUUUUCAAAACAGAAUAUAAAUGUUUUAAGGACAUUAGUAAAUGAAUGACGGUUUUUAUGAGCUGAUCAGACUGGUGAUGAUUCUAUGUGUGAUGUUAUCUGAUCAGCGAAUGGAGUGUGGUGGUUGAGGAAAUUACAGCCAAAACCAAAGAAUCUGAUGUCGUUACUUGCACUCCAUCCGACACCCAUAACUUUUCUUGAGAGUUUGGCGAAGUUUUCAACAGUUUAUCUAAUGAUUUGGAAAAGGAACUGACUCAUCAGGAUGUUCUUAGACAAAAAAUGUUUGUAUGAGAGUCAUAGGAAUGUGAAACCCUAUGGGGAUGACUUAUCAUUCUAGGGGUUGUGUAAAAUUUGCUGAAGUGUGUUUUUCUGUGGCAAUGUGGACGUAGCAAGGAGAGGACAUCCGUAUCCAGUCAUAGACAUACACAGAAAAGUUUACCAUUGUUCACAUAAUAUGUCUCUCUGCUCAGAGAAUCAUUCUCUUUUAGUGAGGAAUGUCAAGAAAGACAUUUCUGUGCAAUGUUCUGAGGUUGAUUUCCCCAACUGCUUUGAUAUGCUGCAUAUUAAAAGUUUUGAACAUUGAACG